rnacentral:rRNA from 11 species
UAAGGUGAGUCCGGGUUAACCGGGGUAGCUGAUGGGAAUCAGGUUAAUAUUCCUGAACCUGUUAUAUUCAGUGAUGGAGUGACGCAGUGGUGAGAUGGAGACACCGACUGGAAGUGGUGUUGAACAUAUGUAGAAAGUUUGGUAGGCAAAUCCGCCAGACAAUAUUUCGAGGUAUGGGACCAGAGCCCUAGGCUCAAAAGUCCAUUCAUAUACACUGCCAAGAAAUAACUUCUAAGCGUUAUAAAGAUAUAGCAGAUCGUACCGCAAACCGACACAGGUAGGAAAGGAGAGUAUCCUAAGGUGUUCGAGAGAAUUCUGGUUAAGGAACUAGGCAAAU